CCUUGGCAGGGUAGCUGCGCGUGCGCGGUGGCUGCGGAGAGCAACGCGUAAGGCUGACCGCUGGCGUUCUUGGUCCCCGACCGCCGGUACCCGGCAUCCUUCCUUAUCCGGGACAGCUUGGAGCCCUGGAUGACCUGAGGAGCCAGGAGUCACACUCAGACUGCACCGUGGAUCGUCCUUAUUCAGCUGUGAACGAAUCUACAGGAAAAACCUAACUGGAAUGUGCCAGGCUCUAGCCAGAGGAGACCCCAAAACUAUGAACUGCAACAGAUAACGAGCCGCUGGCUCCGACGCAUCUGCGACCAGUCUCGGGGUGCUUUAUCCACACGCUGGAUUCAUUCCAUGGAGCUGGAGGAGGAAAUGGACCCUUGAGCAGUCGAGUCACAGCAGGAAACAGCCCACGUGGCUCAAGUGAAGAGAUUUCAGUGAAAGGACAACCUGCAUAGCCCACGUGUUCUCAGUAUGGAGACAACGCCAGCUAUGACCGCUGAUUUGAAGCAUGUCCUACCUUCUGCAGUUUCUCAGGUCCAUCGACCUCCAUCUCUCUUCUGUGGCUUCAUCAGAGAAGGAUGAGUGAGCAGUGCUGGUUCCCUGUCCUGUGCUGAGAUGACAUUGCAGGGGUACAGAGGAGACAAGCCACGGACAACCUGUAGCAACAGGAGGAGGAGAAUUAAUAGGAAGGUGUUUACAUAGCAUAUGACUCCGUUUAUGCGAAAUUUCCAGAAUAGACCAAUCCACAGAGACAGAACACAGACUAAUGGUUUCCAGGGGCUCAGGGAAGGCAGGAUGGGGAGUGGCUGCUUAACAGGUAUGGGGUUUCCUCUUGGACUGAUGAAAAUGUUCUCAAACUAGAUAGUGGUGAUGGUUGCACACACAUGUGAGUGUACUAAAUGCCACUGAAUUGGAUAUUUUAAAAAUGGCUAAAAUGGUCAGUUUUAUGUUAUGUGCAUUUUAUCGUAAUAAAAAAAUAAGCAGUUGGAUUUUAUUCUAAUUGGAGAGAGCAGAUGCUCAAGGGUUGCAGGGUGAAUCUGGUGGUGACUGAAGUAAGCUGAGCUGUAAGAGAAUCAUUUGACCUUGUAGUCCUUCUUGGAAACACUGUUCCCUCCAGCAUGGGGAAGUGAUGGGGAUGGAGGAGAGCAAAGGAGAAGGCAGACCAAGUAGAGGAUGGUGACUCCAGAAAGAGGAGAAGAGCAGGCAUCUGGGAUGGACACUUUUCCUGGAUUUUCCUGAUGUCAUAGAUUUUCUGUUGUUUUCGUUUGUUGGUUUGUUUUCAAUUAUUCAGCAUUCUACCACCUUCAUAUUUGGGGAGACUCCAAAGGUGGGAUGGGGGAAUUUGCCUUUGUAAAUCUUGCUUAUAGGUAGGGAUCUUCUUCCCAAUCUGCAGUCUGAGAAGACCAGAGACUUUCUCUCUGCCCCGCACCCCGCCUGCCAACCACGCUGGAUCUCAGACAUCUGACCCAGCUCAGCUCAUGGAAUGCUUCUUCUGAGACUUCAGGUCACAGAGAGUGAUGCAAGGACACAGAGGCAGGUGAGAGACCACCCCCGACAGCCGAGCCCAAGGAUGAGAGUCCAGCAGCAGCACCAUCCAGCAGAGUGUGGGACUUUGGCAUUGAGUGGCCAGGGGCAGCUGUGCCUGGCAGCAUCUUCAUCACACUGACCCUGAGGGGUGACCUUGGCUGUGAUACCCACUGCCUGGCCUCUUGUUCUGGUCAUCCUAUGAGCCUGGUUUGCCACCCUCUCUUCAAUUCUCAAGCUACCUGAUAUCUUUCCAAUAAAUUCCUUGGCUGCUCAAGUUAGCCAGAGCUUGUUUCUGUGACUUGUCACUAGGAACCCUGACAUUGACGUAGACUUACUGCCUCCCUUCAAAAC
ensembl:lncRNA